rnacentral:tRNA from 2 species
GGAGGGGUGGCAGAGUGGUUGAUCGCCCUGGUCUUGAAAACCAGUAGGCCCGCAAGGGUCUCGUGGGUUCGAAUCCCACCCCCUCCGCCA